rnacentral:rRNA from 1 species
GGGUUGUGAGGUUAAGCGACUAAGCGUACACGGUGGAUGCCCUGGCAGUCAGAGGCGAUGAAGGGCGUGCUAAUCUGCGAUAAGCGCCGGUAAGGUGAUAUGAACCGUUAUAACCGGCGAUACCCGAAUGGGGAAACCCAGUGUGAUUCGUCACACUAUCAUUAACUGAAUCCAUAGGUUAAUGAGGCGAACCGGGGGAACUGAAACAUCUAAGUACCCCGAGGAAAAGAAAUCAACCGAGAUUCCCCCAGUAGCGGCGAGCGAACGGGGAGGAGCCCAGAGCCUGAAUCAGCAUGUGUGUUAGUGGAAGCGUCUGGAAAGGCGCGCGAUACAGGGUGACAGCCCCGUACACAAAAGCGCAUGUGCUGUGAGCUCGAUGAGUAGGGCGGGACACGUGGUAUCCUGUCUGAAUAUGGGGGGACCAUCCUCCAAGGCUAAAUACUCCUGACUGACCGAUAGUGAACCAGUACCG